AUUUUCCUUUUAAUCUUUUAAACUCACAUUUCUCUGGAUUAAAAACCCAACAUUUUUGGUGCCGAAACCCGGGAGUCAAGAUCCAAUUGUCCAGGACCGUGCGGGACCAAGGCCAAGAAACUGUCAACAGCCGUCCACCCUUUGCCGGACGGAGCCAAUAGGUUGGUCCAGCCCUGCCCUGGACAUCCUGGUGACGACUCAAGCUGAGGACUGAUCUGCACAGAAACGGAAGGCCUGAAGCCUGGAGACCGAGUGCUGAUUAAAAUUAUCAAAAGGAAAACUUGGAAAGCUCCGAGGUGGGAAGGACCCUACAAAGUGCAACUAACAACCCCCACUGCUGUGAAAAUCCAGGAGAGAGACACUUGGAUCCACCAGAGUCAUUGUAAACUGAUUAAAAACUUUCCACAGCAAA